UACGAGAGGCCCAAACGUUAUUCGGAAUUACUGGGCUUAAAGAGUUCGUAGGCGGCAUAGUAAGUAGGGUGUGAAAGCCCUCGGCUCAACCGAGGAAUUGCGCUCUAAACUACUGUGCUUGAGGAAGCUAGAGGUGAGCGGAACUGAUGGUGGAGCGGUGAAAUGCGUUGAUAUCAUCAGGAACACCGGAGGCGAAGGCGGCUCACUGGGGCUUUUCUGACGCUGAGGAACGAAAGCCAGGGUAGCGAACGGG
rnacentral:rRNA from 1 species